CGUAACAAGGUCUCCGUAGGUGAACCUGCGGAGGGAUCAUUACACAAAUAUGAAGGCGGGCUGGAACCUCUCGGGGUUACAGCCUUGCUGAAUUAUUCACCCUUGUCUUUUGCGUACUUCUUGUUUCCUUGGUGGGUUCGCCCACCACUAGGACAAACAUAAACCUUUUGUAAUUGCAAUCAGCGUCAGUAACAAAUUAAUAAUUACAACUUUCAACAACGGAUCUCUUGGUUCUGGCAUCGAUGAAGAACGCAGCGAAAUGCGAUAAGUAGUGUGAAUUGCAGAAUUCAGUGAAUCAUCGAAUCUUUGAACGCACAUUGCGCCCUUUGGUAUUCCAAAGGGCAUGCCUGUUCGAGCGUCAUUUGUACCCUCAAGCUUUGCUUGGUGUUGGGCGUCUUGUCUCUAGCUUUGCUGGAGACUCGCCUUAAAGUAAUUGGCAGCCGGCCUACUGGUUUCGGAGCGCAGCACAAGUCGCACUCUCUAUCAGCAAAGGUCUAGCAUCCAUUAAGCCUUUUUUUCAACUUUUGACCUCGGAUCAGGUAGGGAUACCCGCUGAGCUUAAGCAUAUCA
rnacentral:rRNA from 1 species